rnacentral:tRNA from 1 species
GGGGAAAUAGCCAAGAGGUCUAAGGCGGUGGCAUGCUAAGUCAUUUUAUUUUUUAUAACGAAGGUUCGAAUCCUUUUUUCUCCU